rnacentral:rRNA from 1 species
AUACGUAGGUGGCAAGCGUUGUCCGGAAUUACUGGGCGUAAAGCGCGCGCAGGUGGUUCCUUAAGUCUGAUGUGAAAGCCCCCGGCUCAACCGGGGAGGGUCAUUGGAAACUGGGGAACUUGAGUGCAGAAGAGGAUAGUGGAAUUCCAAGUGUAGCGGUGAAAUGCGUAGAGAUUUGGAGGAACACCAGUGGCGAAGGCGACUGUCUGGUCUGUAACUGACACUGAGGCGCGAAAGCGUGGGGAGCAAACAGGAUUAGAUACCCUGGUAGUCCACGCCGUAAACGAUGAGUGCUAAGUGUUGGGGGGUUUCCGCCCCUCAGUGCUGCAGCUAACGCAUUAAGCACUCCGCCUGGGGAGUACGGUCGCAAGACUGAAACUCAAAGGAAUUGACGGGG